UAAAUAUACAUACUCCAUCAGUUCAGCCUCGCUAAAAAAAUUUCCUCCACGUUAAGCUGCCUCUCGGUUGGGUUGGGCUGAGCAAAACAUCUCAGAAACAAGUGGUCUCCUAUAUACUCGCAAGCAGCAUAAUUAAUUAUUUGGAUCGACAUACCAAACCAGAGCUGGACAUGACUGACGCGACUGACAUGCUUUUCAUCAGCAGGAAAGGAGCAGGGUGCCUGCGAGUUGCGCCACCGGCAGGGGUCAACUGGCCUAUCAGGUUCGGGUCAAAACACCUUCUAGAGUGGGAGCAAUGGAGGAGGAUCCUGGCCUUUGACCGCCGGAUCGGUUGGCGGUCAACCUCUCUCGCACAGACCACACCACACCACGCCAGAGCAAAAUCCUAAACUUAAAACCCAAGGCACCCGUCAGCUGGAUGCUCUGUUUUACCCACUGGACCAGAUUUUCCACGAAAAUGAAACUCGUCAAUGGCUUUCAAAACAGAGUAGCUAGCAACUAGUAGCUGGCUUGGAUGCCUGAGUUGGACCGAUCCACGGAUAUGCUAGCUCGUUCAAUGUUUUUAUAUGCCUUGACUUGAUUUUGUUUUUUCAAAGUUCACAAGGCUUGUGCUAAUGUGUAGAAAAAGAUUUUGAAUCGGAUAAGAAGACCUGCAAUGUGAAAAGGG
rnacentral:lncRNA from 1 species